CUCGCCGUAGUUCAAUGGAUAGAACAGGCCCCUCCUAAGGGUCAGAUCUGGGUUCGAUUCCCGGUGGCGGGACCA
rnacentral:tRNA from 1 species